GACGAACGCUGGCGGCGUGCCUAAUACAUGCAAGUCGAGCGAACAGACAAGGAGCUUGCUCCUCUGACGUUAGCGGCGGACGGGUGAGUAACACGUGGAUAACCUACCUAUAAGACUGGGAUAACUUCGGGAAACCGGAGCUAAUACCGGAUAACAUGUUGAACCGCAUGGUUCAACAGUGAAAGACGGUCUUGCUGUCACUUAUAGAUGGAUCCGCGCCGCAUUAGCUAGUUGGUAAGGUAACGGCUUACCAAGGCAACGAUGCGUAGCCGACCUGAGAGGGUGAUCGGCCACACUGGAACUGAGACACGGUCCAGACUCCUACGGGAGGCAGCAGUAGGGAAUCUUCCGCAAUGGGCGAAAGCCUGACGGAGCAACGCCGCGUGAGUGAUGAAGGUCUUCGGAUCGUAAAACUCUGUUAUUAGGGAAGAACAAAUGUGUAAGUAACUAUGCACGUCUUGACGGUACCUAAUCAGAAAGCCACGGCUAACUACGUG
rnacentral:rRNA from 1 species